rnacentral:rRNA from 1 species
GAUGAACGCUGGCGGCGUGCCUAAUACAUGCAAGUCGAGCGAACGGACGAGAAGCUUGCUUCUCUGAUGUUAGCGGCGGACGGGUGAGUAACACGUGGAUAACCUACCUAUAAGACUGGGAUAACUUCGGGAAACCGGAGCUAAUACCGGAUAAUAUUUUGAACCGCAUGGUUCAAAAGUGAAAGACGGUCUUGCUGUCACUUAUAGAUGGAUCCGCGCUGCAUUAGCUAGUUGGUAAGGUAACGGCUUACCAAGGCAACGAUGCAUAGCCGACCUGAGAGGGUGAUCGGCCACACUGGAAUUGAGACACGGUCCAGACUCCUACGGGAGGCAGCAGUAGGGAAUCUUCCGCAAUGGGCGAAAGCCUGACGGAGCAACGCCGCGUGAGUGAUGAAGGUCUUCGGAUCGUAAAACUCUGUUAUUAGGGAAGAACAUAUGUGUAAGUAACUGUGCACAUCUUGACGGUACCUAAUCAGAAAGCCACGGCUAACUACGUG